UACGAAGGGGGCUAGCGUUGCUCGGAAUCACUGGGCGUAAAGCGCACGUAGGCGGAUUGUUAAGUCAGGGGUGUAAUCCUGGAGCUCAACUCCAGAACUGCCCUUGAUACUGGCGAUCUCGAGUCCGGGAGAGGUGAGUGGAACUGCGAGUGUAGAGGUGAAAUUCGUAGAUAUUCGCAAGAACACCAGUGGCGAAGGCGGCUCACUGGCCCGGUACUGACGCUGAGGUGCGAAAGCGUGGGGAGCAAACAGG
rnacentral:rRNA from 1 species